rnacentral:siRNA from 1 species
GAAGCUCGCCGACAGAGAGGCCUU